CCCGGCCGGCAGGGGAUACAAAGAGAUGACCAUCGAGCUGUGACUCAGAUCUGGACGUGCGACCUCUGGCGGCUGGUGAGGGAGGCGCCUGUAGCGGUGCAUGCAUGGCACAAAACGACCCGUCACCCGGUUUUGCCAGAAAAAUGCCACCAAAAAUGCAGCAGGGGAAAAAUUAGAGGUUUGCAGCAGGCGAGAUUGAUGAAGCAACAUGACGUGUAAGCUGUCUGGCCAAUCAGAAGGCAAGGGAAUCACAGUACGCUCACAUAUUGAGAUUCACCAUGACCCAGCAGAAGCAUGAAGUUACAGGGAUACUUACUGUCCAGCACGCACUGCCCAAGUCUGCGAU